rnacentral:rRNA from 1 species
GACGAACGCUGGCGGCGUGGAUUAGGCAUGCAAGUCGAACGGUAUCAUCCUUUCGGGGGUGAGAGAGUGGCGAACUGGUGAGUAACACGUAGGUUAUCUACCCUCAAGACGGGGACAACCCAGGGAAACUUGGGCUAAUACCGGAUGUGAGCAACUUUUAGUUGUUUGAAAGGUGGCGUAAGCUGUCGCUUGGGGAUGGGCCUGCGUCCUAUUAGUUAGUUGGUGAGGUAACGGCUCACCUAGGCAAUGAUAGGUAGGCGGCCUUAACGGGUGGUCGCCCACACUGGGAUUGAGAUACGGCCCAGACUCCUACGGGAGGCAGCAGUCGAGAAUAGUCUACAAUGGUCGGAAGACUGAUAGUGCGACGCCGCGUGAACGAUGAAUCCCUUCGGGGUGUAAAGUUCUUUUAUAUGUGAGCAGUGCUUCUUAUAUUAACAGUAUGGGGAGAGAGAUAUUAGCAUAUGAAUAAGCAACGGCUAACUCCGUGCCAGCAGCCGCGGUAAU